CGACGGGGGAGUUUGGCACCUCGAUGUCGACUCAUCACAUCCUGGGGCUGUAGCCGGUCCCAAGGGUAUGGCUGUUCGCCAUUUAAAGUGGUACGCGAGCUGGGUUUAGAACGUCGUGAGACAGUUCGGUCCCUAUCUGCCGUGGGUGUAGGAUACUUGAGAGGAGUUGCCCCUAGUACGAGAGGACCGGGGUGAACGAUCCACUGGUGGACCUGUUGUUGCGCCAGCAGCAGUGCAGGGUAGCUAUGAUCGGAAAGGAUAACCGCUGAAGGCAUCUAAGCGGGAAGCCCCCCUCAAAACAAGGUAUCCCUGAGAGCCGAGGUAGACCACCUCGUCGAUAGGCCAGAGAUGUAAGCGUAGUAAUACGUUCAGUUGACUGGUACUAAUGGCUCGAU
rnacentral:rRNA from 1 species